rnacentral:lncRNA from 1 species
ACUAAACAUUGGGUUUAAUAAAGUCAGUAUUUCUCAAAGUGGAACAGUGAAUUUUUUUUUCAAUUUUUUACAAAUGGUCGUUUUGGGAAAAUUUAUCACAUCAAAGUAACAGUUUAAGAUAGAAUUGUGCUCAACCAAGCCACUUAUCUGCACUACAGAAUAGUACUUGAAAGCAAUCCUAGUCAGAUUAAAACCAUUUUGAGAGACAAGACUUGUGUUUAUAGCUACCUCAAAAGAGGUAGUUUUCCUUCCACAGUCAAAGCUCAAUUAAGAUUGACUAAUCUUUUUUUUUUUCCUUGUCAUAUCUUCAGUUCAAAACACUAUGAUCACUGGUAAUACGGUCUGUAUCUUGUUUGAUCUGGAUGAUGCGGUCCAGGUAGUGGGGUUUGAGAAGGCGGGCCCUGCAUUCGUGGAGGAGGAGGUGGCCCUCUUGGUGCAGGCCAUAUACCAGGACUCAUUCCUCCUGGUUGUGUAAAUGGAGGGCUCAGAGUUCCUUGGUCUUCAGUAAACUGGGGUAAAGAGUUAGGAUUGUAAUGGUGAGGAGGGGGUGCAGUUACAGGUGGACCACCAUGCUGAGGUGGCAUCUGGGCAAUAAUAUGUCCAGGGGGAGGGGUUAUUGGGGGUGGAGCAGAGGUCAUUGGUGGAGGUGGUGGUUCUCUAGCACCUGAACUGGAGUCAUCCUGAAUAGGGACCGUUAUUAAAUUGCUGU